UACGGGAGGCAGCAGUGGGGAAUAUUGCACAAUGGGCGAAAGCCUGAUGCAGCUAUGCCGCGUGUAUGAAGAAGGCCUUAGGGUUGUAAAGUACUUUCAUCGGGGAGGAAAAAAACAAAACUAAUAAUUUUAUUUCUUGACGUUACCCGAAAAAGAAGCACCGGCUAACUCCGUGCCAGCAACCGCGGUAAUACGGAGGGUGCUAGCGUUAAUCAGAAUUACUGGGCGUAAAGAGCACGUAGGUGGUUUUUUUAAAGUCAGAUGUGAAAUCCCUGGGCUUUAACCUAGGAACUGCAUUUUGAAACUGAAAUACUAGAGUAUCGUAGAGGGAGGUAGAAUUCUAGGUGUAGCGGUGAAAUGCGUAGAUAUCUGGAGGAAUACCUGUGGCGAAAGCGGCCUCCUAAACGAAUACUGACACUGAGGGUGCGAAAGCGUGGGGAGCAAACAGGGAUUAGAUACCCGU
rnacentral:rRNA from 1 species